rnacentral:rRNA from 1 species
GUCGAGCGAUGAAGCUUCCUUCGGGAAGUGGAUUAGCGGCGGACGGGUGAGUAACACGUGGGUAACCUGCCUCAAAGUGGGGGAUAGCCUUCCGAAAGGAAGAUUAAUACCGCAUAAUAUAAGAGAAUCGCAUGAUUUUCUUAUCAAAGAUUUAUUGCUUUGAGAUGGACCCGCGGCGCAUUAGCUAGUUGGUAAGGUAACGGCUUACCAAGGCAACGAUGCGUAGCCGACCUGAGAGGGUGAUCGGCCACAUUGGAACUGAGACACGGUCCAGACUCCUACGGGAGGCAGCAGUGGGGAAUAUUGCGCAAUGGGGGAAACCCUGACGCAGCAACGCCGCGUGGGUGAUGAAGGUCUUCGGAUUGUAAAGCCCUGUUUUCUAGGACGAUAAUGACGGUACUAGAGGAGGAAGCCACGGCUAACUACGUGCCAGCAGCCGCGGUAAUACGUAGGUGGCGAGCGUUGUCCGGAUUUACUGGGCGUAAAGGGUGCGUAGGCGGAUGUUUAAGUGGGAUGUGAAAUCCCCGGGCUUAACCUGGGGGCUGCAUUCCAAACUGGAUAUCUAGAGUGCAGGAGAGGAAAGCGGAAUUCCUAGUGUAGCGGUGAAAUGCGUAGAGAUUAGGAAGAACACCAGUGGCGAAGGCGGCUUUCUGGACUGUAACUGACGCUGAGGCACGAAAGCGUGGGUAGCAAACAGGAUUAGAUACCCUGGUAGUCCACGCCGUAAACGAUGGAUACUAGGUGUAGGGGGUAUCAACUCCCCCUGUGCCGCAGUUAACACAAUAAGUAUCCCGCCUGGGGAGUACGGUCGCAAGAUUAAAACUCAAAGGAAUUGACGGGGGCCCGCACAAGCAGCGGAGCAUGUGGUUUAAUUCGAAGCAACGCGAAGAACCUUACCUGGACUUGACAUCCCUUGCAUAGCCUAGAGAUAGGUGAAGCCCUUCGGGGCAAGGAGACAGGUGGUGCAUGGUUGUCGUCAGCUCGUGUCGUGAGAUGUUAGGUUAAGUCCUGCAACGAGCGCAACCCUUGUUAUUAGUUGCUACCAUUAAGUUGAGCACUCUAAUGAGACUGCCUGGGUAACCAGGAGGAAGGUGGGGAUGACGUCAAAUCAUCAUGCCCCUUAUGUCCAGGGCUACACACGUGCUACAAUGGUAGGUACAAUAAGACGCAAGACCGUGAGGUGGAGCAAAACUUAUAAAACCUAUCUCAGUUCGGAUUGUAGGCUGCAACUCGCCUACAUGAAGCUGGAGUUGCUAGUAAUCGCGAAUCAGAAUGUCGCGGUGAAUACGUUCCCGGGCCUUGUACACACCGCCCGUCACACCAUGAGAGCUGGUAACACCCGAAGUCCGUGAGGUAACCGUAAGGAGCCAGCGGCCGAAGGUGGGAUUAGUGAUUGGGGUGAAGU